rnacentral:sRNA from 1 species
UCAAGCCUGUUGUGGAGAAAAAAAAUGAAGUCAUUCAGAUCGUGCAUUGAAAGAUAAGGCUUUCACCUUUGGUAGUAUUUUAACAUUGAUCUGCUCCUAGUUGCUGUAAGAAUAUAAAUAAAAGGACUUGGUGAAAUAAUUGUUAUUUAAUAGAUUGUAUUCAAGGAUAUAGAGAGACUUAAAUUACCUGAAGAUAUAACUCAAUAUGAAGUUCAUAUUAAUACUGGCUGUCUUGGCGCUUACCUGUAUUCUAUGUCAAGGUCAGUUUGAUUUCUGUGCUAGCUGCAACCCAGAGCUGAACAGACUGUGCUCAUUGUGUAUCAAGCCUCAAAUUGUGAAAAGAAACUGUUUUUGUGGCAUCAGUGACCCACAGUCUCCAGAGUGUCUUGCAGUUUCCAUCUGUGACGGUGUCGGCAAAUAAAAUGAUAAAUUAAGUUAGUAAAAUCAGAACGCUUAGAUCUAUAUGAUGUGAAUUCUGAAUAAUCUUUUCCUUUCAAAAAAUAAAGAACCCCUAAAACUAAA